rnacentral:rRNA from 1 species
ACUCCUACGGGAGGCAGCAGUGGGGAAUAUUGCACAAUGGGCGCAAGCCUGAUGCAGCCAUGCCGCGUGUGUGAAGAAGGCCUUCGGGUUGUAAAGCACUUUCAGUUGUGAGGAAGGUGGUGUCGUUAAUAGCGGCAUCAUUUGACGUUAGCAACAGAAGAAGCACCGGCUAACUCCGUGCCAGCAGCCGCGGUAAUACGGAGGGUGCGAGCGUUAAUCGGAAUUACUGGGCGUAAAGCGCAUGCAGGUGGUUUGUUAAGUCAGAUGUGAAAGCCCGGGGCUCAACCUCGGAACUGCAUUUGAAACUGGCAGACUAGAGUACUGUAGAGGGGGGUAGAAUUUCAGGUGUAGCGGUGAAAUGCGUAGAGAUCUGAAGGAAUACCGGUGGCGAAGGCGGCCCCCUGGACAGAUACUGACACUCAGAUGCGAAAGCGUGGGGAGCAAACAGGAUUAGAUACCCUGGUAGCACAGGG